CGGACCUGGCGCGUGCCUAUCAUGCUAGUCGAGCGGACAGAAGGGAGCUUGCUCCCGGAUGUUAGCGGCGGACGGGUGAGUAACACGUGGGUAACCUGCCUGUAAGACUGGGAUAACUCCGGGAAACCGGAGCUAAUACCGGAUAGUUCCUUGAACCGCAUGGUUCAAGGAUGAAAGACGGUUUCGGCUGUCACUUACAGAUGGACCCGCGGCGCAUUAGCUAGUUGGUGAGGUAACGGCUCACCAAGGCGACGAUGCGUAGCCGACCUGAGAGGGUGAUCGGCCACACUGGGACUGAGACACGGCCCAUACUCCUACGGGAGGCAGCAGUAGGGAAUCUUCCACAAUGGACGAAAGUCUGACGGAGCAACGCCGCGUGAGUGAUGAAGGUUUUCGGAUCGUAAAGCUCUGUUGUUAGGGAAGAACAAGUGCAAGAGUAACUGCUUGCACCUUGACGGUACCUAACCAGAAAGCCACGGCUAACUACGUGCCAGCAGCCGCGGUAAUACGUAGGUGGCAAGCGUCGUCCGGAUUAUUGGGCGUAAAGGGCUCGCAGGCGGUUUCUUAAGUUUGAUGUGAAAGCCCCCCGGCUCAACCGGGGAGGGUCAUUGGAAACUGGGAAACUUGAGUGCAGAAGAGGAGAGUGGAAUUCCACGUGUAGCGGUGAAAUGCGUAGAGAUGUGGAGGAACACCAGUGGCGAAGGCGACUCUCUGGUCUGUAACUGACGCUGAGGAGCGAAAGCGUGGGGAGCGAACAGGAUUAGUUACCCUGGUAGUCCACGCCGUAAACGAUGAGUGCUAAGUGUUAGGGGGUUUCCGCCCCUUAGUGCUGCAGCUAACGCAUUAAGCACUCCGCCUGGGGAGUACGGUCGCAAGACUGAAACUCAAAGGAAUUGACGGGGGCCCGCACAAGCGGUGGAGCAUGUGGUUUAAUUCGAAGCAACGCGAAGAACCUUACCAGGUCUUGACAUCCUCUGACAACCCUAGAGAUAGGGCUUUCCCUUCGGGGACAGAGUGACAGGUGGUGCAUGGUUGUCGUCAGCUCGUGUCGUGAGAUGUUGGGUUAAGUCCCGCAACGAGCGCAACCCUUGAUCUUAGUUGCCAGCAUUCAGUUGGGCACUCUAAGGUGACUGCCGGUGACAAUCCGGAGGAAGUUGGGGAUGACGUCAAAUCAUCAUGCCCCUUAUGACCUGGGCUACACACGUGCUACAAUGGACUGAACAAAGGGCUGCGAGACGGCAAGGGUUAGCCAAUCCCACAAAUCUUUGUCUGUCGGAUCUCGUAGAA
rnacentral:rRNA from 1 species